UCAAAUGCAAUACAAUUAUCGUGUUUCUCCCCUUCUAUUCCAUUUUAUCUUUCCUCAUCUCCCUUACUCAUUCCUCUGUUAUUCUUCGUAUUCUUAUGUUAGCUGGGAAGGCCACUGCCACCGUAGCAAAUCAAUUAGAUUCUCUUCUAAUUGGUUCUCUCAAUGUUCAGCUUGCAACAUAGGCUUUUCUGAGAUUUGUUAUAUGGAAAGUCAUUUUUAGUUCAAAAAUAAAUCAGAGAUGGAUGAGCUCGAAAGAGACUUGCUGGAGCGAGCUUCACGUUGCCACUCGCCAACUAAGCGAUCGCUGCCUUUACGCUGCUUCCAAAUGGGCAGGGGAGCAACUGUUGUGAAUCGAGCAAGACCCUGCAAAGUUCACUCCUACAAACACCAGAUUCCAACGUGGAAGUUGCAGCAUUCAUCGAAGAAGAUUCCGAACUAGUGACAUUACCUCUACGGCUCUACCGCCUGUUACUGGCAUGUCUUAUGCGUCCACUCCCGUAUUGGAGGAAGAUGAUGUGAUCAAAAGAUGGUGACUUCUACCUUCUAGCCAAGUCCUCCCUUGAUUGUCGAGAGCAUAAAAGGGCUGCUCAUGUGCUUCCCUAUUGCCAUUGCUCGCUAAUUGUGAUUUUUUGUGCGUGCAAAUUAUGGUAUAUUUCCUCCUUUUAUUCAAUUGGAUCCUUCAUGGAGCAAUCAAUGAAACUUCAUGGUUACAUUUUUUUUAA